GAUAAACGCUAGCGGCAGGCUUAACACAUGCAAGUCGAGGGGUAACAUUGGGUGUUUACACUCAGAUGACGACCGGCGGAUGGGUGAGUAACGAGUAUGUAACCUACCUGUUACUAAAGGAUAGCCCGAAGAAAUUUGGAUUAAUCCUUUAUGAUAUCUUUUUUUGGCAUCGAUUUAAGAUUAAAGAAUUUUCGGUAAUAGAUGGGCAUGCUUUCUAUUAGAUAGUUGGUUAGGUAAAGGCUUACCAAGUCGACGAUAGAUAGGGGCUCUGAGAGGAUUUCCCCCCACACUGGAACUGAGAACGGUCCAGACUCCUACGGGAGGCAGCAGUGAGGAAUAUUGGGCAAUGGAGGCAACUCUGACCCAGCCAUGCCGCGUGCAGGACUACGAUCGACAAGAUUUUAAACUGCUUUUAUAAUGGGAAAAUCAUCAAUUUGCGAAUUGAUUUGCUGUACAUUAUGAAUAAGAAUCGGCUAACUCCGUGCCAGCAGCCGCGGUAAUACGGGGGAUUCAAGCGUUAUCCGGACUUAUUGGGUUUAAAGGGUGCGUAGGCUGAUAAAUCAGUCA
rnacentral:rRNA from 1 species